rnacentral:rRNA from 1 species
GACGAACGCUGGCGGCGUGCUUAACACAUGCAAGUCGAACGGAAAGGCCCUGCUUUUGUGGGGUGCUCGAGUGGCGAACGGGUGAGUAACACGUGUGUAACCUGCCCUUGACUUUGGGAUAACUUCAGGAAACUGGGGCUAAUACCGGAUAUGAGCUCCUGCUGCAUGGUGGGGGUUGGUAAGUUUCGGCGUUUGUGGAUGGUCUCGCGGCUUAUCAGCUGGUUGGUGGGGUAGUGGCUUACCAAGGCUUUGACGGGUAGCCGGCCUGAGAGGGUGACCGGCCACAUUGGGACUGAGAUACGGCCCAGACUCCUACGGGAGGCAGCAGUGGGGAAUAUUGCACAAUGGGCGGAAGCCUGAUGCAGCAACGCCGCGUGCGGGAUGACGGCCUUCGGGUUGUAAACCGCUUUCGCCUGUGACGAAGCGUGAGUGACGGUAAUGGGUAAAGAAGCACCGGCUAACUACGUG